rnacentral:rRNA from 1 species
GGGCCCGCACAAGCGGUGGAGUAUGUGGUUUAAUUCGAUGCAACGCGAAGAACCUUACCAGGGUUUGACAUCCUGCGAAUCUCUUGGAAACGAGAGAGUGCCUUCGGGAACGCAGUGACAGGUGGUGCAUGGCUGUCGUCAGCUCGUGUCGUGAGAUGUUGGGUUAAGUCCCGCAACGAGCGCAACCCACGUCGUUAGUUGCCAGCAUUUAGUUGGGCACUCUAGCGAGACCGCCGGUGAUAAACCGGAGGAAGGUGUGGAUGACGUCAAGUCAUCAUGCCCCUUACAUCCUGGGCUACACACGUACUACAAUGCUACGGACAAAGGGCAGCAAACUCGCGAGAGCUAGCAAAUCCCAUAAACCGUGGCUCAGUUCAGAUCGUAGGCUGCAACUCGCCUACGUGAAGGAGGAAUCGCUAG